AGGUGGAAUUGCUGACUCUUCUUUUUUUAUUAAUAGCCUUUUAGCACUUACUUCCAAAGCUUCUUUAUCCAUGGUGUUCAGAGCAAUUUAUUCACUAAAAUAACUCAACUUCUUAACUGCAUAAACUACCUUACCCAAAGAGAAACUUUCCAUUUCCAAAAUCCAAAAUCCAAACUUUUUUCUUCCUAAAAAUACAUAUAUUUUCCCCUGUUUCUUGAUGAUGAAUCAAUUGUAUUCUGUUAAAGAGGAGUUCCCGGGGUCAAGUUCUGGUGGCAAGCCCCCACCGCCGACACCACAACCAAUGGAAGGGCUUCAUGACAUUGGUCCACCACCAUUCCUUACAAAGACAUAUGAAAUGGUGGAUGAUUCAACUAUAGAUCAUGUUGUUUCUUGGAACAGAGGAGGUCAAAGCUUCGUAGUCUGGGAUCCUCAUGCCUUUUCAACUACACUACUUCCCAGAUUCUUCAAACAUAAUAAUUUCUCGAGCUUUGUCAGACAGCAAAAUACGUAUUAUUGGACAAUAUGUGGACUCCCAAAUUGAGAUUUGAGAAGAAAGAGCACCAAGCUAAUCUAAGUACUAUUACUUAUAUGUGUAAUAUUGUAAACAUAUUUUCCUUCCUAGCUACGUACUCUUGUUUUUGCUUAAGUAUUGUAUCUUUUGACUUAAUUUUGUGUGAAGAAGAGUGUAUGAUCAGUGCUAUAUAUAUGAAAUAAAACAAAUAUUAUUAGUAA